rnacentral:lncRNA from 1 species
ACCCAUGCUCACCACCUAAGGAAAGGCAGUGUCUCAUCCCAUGCUCACCACCUAAGGAAACGCAGUGUCUCACCCCAUGCUCACCACCUAAGGAAACGCAGUGUCUCACCCCAUGCUCACCACCUAAGGAAACGCAGUGUCUCAUCCCAUGCUCACCACCUAAGGAAAUGCAGUGACACACCCCAUGCUCAACACCUAAGGAAAUGCAGUGACUCACCCCAUGCUCAACACCUAAGGAAAUGCAGUGACUCACCCCAUGCUCACCACCUAAGGAAAUGCAGUGACUCACCCCAUGCUCACCACCUAAGGAAACACAGUGACUCACCCCAUGCUCACCACCUAAGGAAAUGCAGUGACUCACCCCAUGCUCAACACCUAAGGAAAUGCAGUGACUCACCCAAUGCUCACCACCUAAGGAAAUGCAGUGUCUCACCCCAUGCUCACCACCUAGGGAAACGCAGUGUCUCAUCCCAUGCUCACCACCUAAGGAAAUGCAGUGACUACACCCAUGCUCACCACCUAAGGAAAUGCAGUGACUCACCCCAUGCUCACAACCUAAGGAAAUGCAGUGUCUCACCCCAUGCUCAACACCUAAGGAAAUGCAGUGUCUCACCCCAUGCUCACCACCUAAGGAAAUGCAGUGUCUCACCCCAUGCUCGACACGUAAAGAAAUGCAGUGACUCACCCCAUGCUCAACACCUAAGGAAACGCAGUGACUCACCCCAUGCUCAACACCUAAGGAAACGCAGUGACUCACCCCAUGCUCACUACCUAAGGAAACAGAGUGUCUCACUCCAUGCUCACCACCUAAGGAAAUGCAGUGUCUCACCCCAUGCUCACCACCUAAGGAAAUGCAGUGAUUCACCCCAUGCUCGACACCUAAGGAAACGCAGUGACUCACCCCAUGCUCGACACCUAAGGAAACGCAGUGUCUCACCCCAUGCUCUACACCUAAGGAAACGCAGUGAUUCACCCCAUGCUCACCACCUAAGGAAAUGCAGUGACUCACCCCAUGCUCACCACCUAAGGAAAUGCAGUGAUUCACCCCAUGCUCACCACCUAAGGAAAUGCAGUGACUCACCCCAUGCUCACCACCUAAGGAAAUGCAGUGAUUCACCCCAUGCUCGACACCUAAGGAAACGCAGUGACUCACCCCAUGCUCGACACCUAAGGAAACGCAGUGUCUCACCCCAUGCUCUACACCUAAGGAAACGCAGUGUCUCACCCCAUGCUCAACACCUAAGGAAACGCAGUGUCUCACCCCAUGCUCACCACCUAAGGAAAUGCAGUGACUCACCCCAUGCUCACCACCUAAGGAAACGCAGUGUCUCACCCCAUGCUCACCACCUAAGGAAACGCAGUGUCUCACCCCAUGCUCACCACCUAAGGAAAUGCAGUGACUCACCCCAUGCUCACCACCUAAGGAAAUGCAGUGACUCACCCCAUGCUCACCACCUAAGGAAACGCAGUGACUCACCCCAUGCUCACCACCUAAGGAAAUGCAGUGUCUCACCCCAUGCUCGACACCUAAGGAAAUGCCGUGUCUCACCCCAUGCUCACCACCUAAGGAAAUGCAGUGACCCACCCCAUGCUCGACACCUAAGGAAACGCAGUGACUCACCCCAUGCUCACCACCUAAGGAAAUGCAGUGUCUCACCCCAUGCUCGACACCUAAGGAAAUGCAGUGUCUCACCCCAUGCUCGACACCUAAGGAAAUGCAGUGACCCACCCCAUGCUCGACACCUAAGGAAACGCAGUGACUCACCCCAUGCUCACUAUCUAAGGAAAUGCAGUGAUUCACCCCAUGCUCACUAUCUAAGGAAAUGCAGUGUCUCACCCCAUGCUCACCACCUAAGGAAAAGCAGUGUCUCCCCCCAUGCUCACCACCUAAGGAAAUGCAGUGACUCACUCCAUGCUCACCACCUAAGGAAAUGCAGUGACCCACCCCAUGCUCACCACCUAAGGAAAUGCAGUGUCUCACCCCAUGCUCAACACCUAAGGAAAUGCAGUGACUCACCCCAUGCUCACCACCUAAGGAAAUGCAGUGUCUCACCCCAUGCUCACCACCUAAGGAAAUGCAGUGUCUCACCCCAUGCUCAACACCUAAGGAAACACAGUGACUCACCCCAUGCACGUGGUCUUACCUGGGGUCUCUGGCAGCAGGACCAGGAGGAAGGUGUGGGACUAUGGAGCCUGGGAGGUAGGAAGGGGAGUAGUGAGAGGUCUCUACUGCAUGAGAGGCCACCUGCACUGAGCUGUGUGGCAUUGCGGCUCAGCCUCUCCAGGCCCCCAGCCAUGCACUGGAGUUGUCCCUUUGAGGUGGGAGGGUGCAGCAUUGGCGUCCAGCCCCAAUUUCCAGGGCUGGAGGGUUGCUUUCCACUCCUGCUUGCUAGGGUUUUGGAGAAUGCCUGA